rnacentral:rRNA from 1 species
UACGUAGGGGGCAAGCGUUGUCCGGAAUCAUUGGGCGUAAAGCGCGCGUAGGCGGCCCGGUAAGUCCGCUCUGAAAGUCCAGGGCCUAACCCUGGAAAGCGGGUGGAUACUGCCGGGCUUGAAUCCGGAAGAGGCGAGUGGAAUUCCUGGUGUAGCGGUGGAAUGCGCAGAUAUCAGGAGGAACACCAAUAGCGAAGGCAGCUCGCUGGGACGGUAUUGACGCUAAGGCGCGAAAGCGUGGGGGAGCAAACAGG